UGUUGUCACCCUGUGUAGCAGUUGUUCUCGUGUCUUCAGCCUUACUCGCCGUGUCUCCCUGUUACCCUGCUCAUUUUUGGAUUCUGGUUUUCACCCUUUUGGAUUUCUGUUGGACAGCCUUUGUUUUUGGAAUCAGCCACUCUGUUAGCAGACACCACAGGAGGUGACAGCCAGUGUAAGACAUUACAGGGAAAAUGAAAGCUGUUUUAGGUGCUGCUAGUGGCUGAAAGGAGAAAAGUCCUCAUCACUACAUCAUCAUGACGAAGAACAAUCAACCAAGAUGUUGUAAUUUGCUAUACUAUUUCAAUAUAUUGUUAGCUAGUAGGUGUAUGCUUUUCAUUUUACUCACUGGCUGUUGUUCGGUUGUGUAGAUCUGCAUGCCUUAUUAUCAUUAACUGUCAUGUGUGAGGUAUGGUCUGAUUUAAUCUACAAUUUUCAGUUUAGAUUGUCACAGAGAUAGAGGCGUGUUUACUGUAUACACAAAUAACGUAGAAUAACUGUCAGUAGGAUAUAAGUCUAUGAAAGCACAGGCUUCAGAAUAUAUUUUGUUUAUCUAGUGAAGACAGUGCACAUUUAUCUACAGAGACGUUUUCUUCUUUAGUUAGAUUUACACAUUAUUUUGCACAUGUAAUGCCAGUUACUAUUCAGCGGGAAAAAGGUGAAAGAAGCACCUCAAGCACCUUGAGAGGGACAGAAAACAAUUGGAGAAGGUGAUCAAGAAAUCUAGCUCUGUCCUGGGCCGUCCUCUGGACUCAGUGAGGGAGGUGGGAGACAGAAGGGUCCUAGCUAAACUGACAGCUAUGCUGGACCAUGAGUCGCACCCCCUGCACUACACCCUGUCAGCCCUGGAGAGCAGUUUCAGGGACAGGCUGCUCCACCCCCGCUAUGUGAAGUAGAAAUACCACAGAUCUUUCCUUCCAGCGGCCGUCAGACUGAACAAUGAACACCGUUGACUCUGUGCAAUAUAUCCCAUGUGCCAUUAUUACAUCUGUGCAUAAUUUUGAUUUGUGCAAUUAUCAUAAGUGCAAUUUUACUAAUUCAUGUGCAAUUAUUGUAUAAUACAGU